rnacentral:rRNA from 1 species
GUAGGGUGCAGGCGUUAAUCGGAAUUACUGGGCGUAAAGCGUGCGCAGGCGGUUUGCUAAGACAGGUGUGAAAUCCCCGGGCUUAACCUGGGAACUGCGCUUGUUACUGGCAGGCUGGAGUGUGGCAGAGGGGGGUGGAAUUCCAGGUGUAGCAGUGAAAUGCGUAGAGAUCUGGAGGAACACCGAUGGCGAAGGCAGCCCCCUGGGCUAACACUGACGCUCAUGCACGAAAGCGUGGGGAGCAAACAGGAUUAGAUACCCUGGUAGUCCACGCCCUAAACUAUGUCAACUGGUUGUCGGGGAAGCAAUUCCUUGGUAACGAAGCUAACGCGUGAAGUUGACCGCCUGGGGAGUACGGCCGCAAGGUUA